CUGAUUCAGCGGCGGACGGGUGAGUAAUGCCUAGGAAUCUGCCUGAUAGUGGGGGACAACGUUUCGAAAGGAACGCUAAUACCGCAUACGUCCUACGGGAGAAAGCAGGGGACCUUCGGGCCUUGCGCUAUCAGAUGAGCCUAGGUCGGAUUAGCUAGUUGGUGAGGUAACGGCUCACCAAGGCGACGAUCCGUAACUGGUCUGAGAGGAUGAUCAGUCACACUGGAACUGAGACACGGUCCAGACUCCUACGGGAGGCAGCAGUGGGGAAUAUUGGACAAUGGGCGAAAGCCUGAUCCAGCCAUGCCGCGUGUGUGAAGAAGGUCUUCGGAUUGUAAAGCACUUUAAGUUGGGAGGAAGGGCAUUAACCUAAUACGUUAGUGUUUUGACGUUACCGACAGAAUAAGCACCGGCUAACUUCGUGCCAGCAGCCGCGGUAAUACGAAGGGUGCAAGCGUUAAUCGGAAUUACUGGGCGUAAAGCGCGCGUAGGUGGUUUGUUAAGUUGGAUGUGAAAGCCCCGGGCUCAACCUGGGAACUGCAUCCAAAACUGGCAAGCUAGAGUAUGGCAGAGGGUGGUGGAAUUUCCUGUGUAGCGGUG
rnacentral:rRNA from 1 species